CCUAGCAUCCAUACAGGCUCACAGCUCAGCUACUCACAGGGUGGGAAAAGCCAGUUUGGCAAAGGCAGGCCAGGAACACUCGCAGUGCUCCCAACACAUUAUGCUGCCCCCUGUUGCAGCAUAAUGCUGUUUGCUGUUUCCCCUCUGCUUUCCUAGUAAUUCCUAUCAUUUCAUUCACUUCCUUUGACUGCUGCUGAGAGCAGAGUUGAUGUUUUCAUCCCGCUACCUAUUAUAACCACAAGAGUCCAUUGGUGAGUGGUAAUAAGCAGAGCCGAGCCCAUUACUGCCUAUAUAAAAUUAGGAUUGUUUUCUCCCUGAUGAAGGCAGCUCAGGGAAAUGGAGUGAUGGUGGUCCCCUGUCCCUAGGCUAUCCCUGCGUCCCCAAGUCUGCCAUCUGGAGAGCACUGGGCUACCAUAUUCUUCUCAACGGUGACAGGUGACAUCACUGCCUUACGUCUGCCCCAAACAACUUAUCACAGCUAACGUUUCAUUUGUGUGAGAACAUUAGCGAGAACUAUUUUCUUUUCCUUGUAAAUCCAUUUCGACGACAACGACAGAAGACAAUCCAGCAGGAGCUCCUCAUAGGCACGAGACAUUGAUGGAUGUGGGAGCCUGGUGGGAGAGCUCCGGUUGCACGGCAAGGGCUGCGCUCACCAGGCUCUCUGAGCACAAUAUCUAGGUCACAGACCUACGCCCCGCUGAUGGCAUGUCACAAGCUGUCCCUUAGCCUCACAGCAGCCUUUCAGCACGAAGGAUGCCUGCAGGGGCAAGACGGCUCCUAGACAAGGAAAAAAACACCAUCAUCCUGCUUGCUGGCCUUGCCUUUGGCAGGGAGCCCCACCAAGCAGUGAGCCCUGCAUUGCUCCAAAGGGUUCCCGAGUGCAGGGAGCUCCCCACCAGAGUCCGUCUGUGCAGAGAUGCAAGGUAUCGUUAUUUCCAAAAAAUUUAAGCCAUUAUAUUUCAAAGGGAUACAUAAUGCAUAAAAGUCUGGGCUCAUCUAUCUUUCUCCUCAUCCCUUCUGCCUUGAAGUAAGGUCUGGCUCUCUAAGAACCCAGACAAGAAUAACCCUAGGAUGAAAUGAAAAGCAACCUGGCUGGUGAUACAUAUAAAAGAUGACAUCUCCAGAAAUCCCAAACUUCAAAGGGGCAGCUUUCAGCACACGACUAUCCACUUCCUCCAGCCCUCAAGGCUAGUGUCAUAAUUUUAAAGCCACAGGAAUCAUUUGAUCUCUCCAAAUGGCAGCUCAGUGGUCUAGCACACUUCUGGAUGUCAAAAAAGUAUGCACUGCCACCAGCAAUAUUCCACGGGGGUUAGUCUUUGAAAGGACAGAUUGAGGUGAAACAACCUAAGAUUCAGCAGCGGGAGGAGGAAAAACGGAAAAGAAAAGAUGCUCAAAAGGACAAUGGCAUGCUGAGGGACUCAGAGGUCCCCAAACACGGGGCUGGGUGGCAGGAAACGAUCACACAAGCACAGUGCUCCAUAGACUGCUCCUAUCCCAUACAACAGGUGGAGCCUGAGAUAGGAGUGUGCCCCACAUUCAGGGCAAGCAUGGGUCCCCCUGUGCCACCCCAGCAGCUCAGGGAUGCCAUCCUCACCCUCUAUCCAGGAGCAGGAGGAGGGGCCAGGUGAAACUGCCAAGAUAAGUAAUUCGCCGCCCGCUGGUAAGAACUCCUAAUUAGAGGCUUUUCAGCAGCUAAAUGUUUAUAUGGAGUUAAUGUAUUUACUUUGAUGCACGCACACCGUAAUAACAGAGCACCCUUCCUAUGCUCUGGCAAUUAAAGGAGCAUGCUGCACACAAAGAGACCCACUGCCUCCCACAGCCAGGCUUGGGCACAGCGAGGAGCCCACCUGCCCUGUGUCCCCCCUAGCAUAGGGACAGUGCGGGGGACCCCCAAGUGGCACAGAGCUGGGGCACUGAAGGGCACUGGGAGGUGAUGCUGCUGGAGCAGGGUGGGCUCCAUGCCAAAUUCAGCCCAGAAAUCAGUGAACCCUGCACAGCUGUCUUAUUGCAGAUGGGGAGAAACACCCCUUAAGAAGCAGGGCCCUGAGCCACACACUGGUGGCAGUUUCUGAGCAGACUGAAGAUGCUGCAGUGCCACCCUUUAUAAGAGUAUUUAUUCCUGUGUGGGAGAAACACUCCAUUAUCUGCUUUAUUAAUUGUUAGUUAAGUAAAGGGAAGGUGCCUAGAGCGGGAGAUGAACCCUCAUCAGUUGUUAUUAGCUCAGAAACCGGCAGAAAUAAAAUAACUGGAGAUAAAUGAUCACAAGUGCAGCCCCGCAUAGCACAGACUGACAGAUCUGCUCCGAGGGGAAUUCGGAGCACGCUGGGGGGAGCAGAGGAGAGAUGGCAACAGUCAGUCCAAUUUCUUCUUCUUUAAUGAAAAGAUUUCAUCAUCUUCGAUUCUGAACAUCACUUUUCAUGGCUGGGAUCACAUGGACAUUCAUGGCUGAGAGGGUAUCCCUGCUACUGCAGGGAAACUCAAUUUAUUAGUCUAUCACUGGGAAAGCAAGACAGGCUUGGCACUGGUAGCACAAUGCCAUGUGAAAUAGAGGGUUUUUGUUUUUUUUUUUUAAAUAACACAACCACAUGCAUCUACAGACAGUCUGGCCCCACCCCUGCAGGGCUGCGAUGACCUCAGAAAUACACAUAGCCCCAUUAUCAGGAGAGACCGAGAGAGAUGGGGGCUUCUAUCAAAUGAUCUUAACAAGGACCUUGAGCAGCAAAGUGCCAGCAGCGAAGGGACAUAGGCAUCCACCUUGAAUCCCAGAGCCACCCAAGGAGCCCAAACACGCAAUGCCUUCCAGUCUAAACAAGACAAGCCCAGUCACUUGGUCAUCUUCCACAGCCUUUCCCCCCAAACACACCUUCCAGCACUGGCCAUACGCUCUCAUCUCGCUGGUUCACACCACCUAGACAAGGCUUUGAAGGCAGGCAGAAUGCUCCUGCCCACACAAGGUUCAGCGAUAGGGAGGAGUGGGAGGCUCCUACUCAUUGAGGAAAACCUUGGACCUGCGGGCAAAACAGGGUGCCAUGGGGACUGGGGCUAGCAGAAGCACCACACAUAGGAUGCUGCCCAGCAGAUCCUCUGAUACUUGGUUUCCUGCUACCUGUGGCUCCCUAGCUUUACACAGUACAGUGCUCACUUGAAUAAUAACUUUUCAGAAGUUGCUGAUCUUAGCAACUAGAAAUAAAAGUCUCUGCUUCAACCACAGAGUGAAGAAUAGUUUGAGCAGGUCAAGCCUUGCUUGCUGCAUUUAUUGACAAGAGUUGCACCAUUUUCAAAGCCUCAGCUCUUCAGGUAAGCACAUCCUACUCAGUACUUCAUCUCACCCCUUCUGGAAAUACAGCAACAAACAUCAUUUCAUCCCCAUCCUGCAAUAUAGCACCCAAGAUUCAAGCUUGCUCCCAUAAGCAUUUGUUCGUAAGAGAAAAGACAGCUGGUCCUCAAGGACACCAAAACACUGCACCUCACACAGCCCCUAGACUCGCUGUGCAUCUCACGACAAAACAGAGAAGAUGAGACAUCUCUUAACCAAGCAGCAGACCUCCGAGAAGCUAAUUAACUCAAACCCACUCCCGCAA